UGGUAGGAUAGAGGCCUACCAUGGUGGUAACGGGUAACGGGGUGUUAGGGCACGANNNCGGAGAGGGAGCCUGAGAAACGGCUACCACAUCCAAGGAUGGCAGCAGGCGCGCAAAUUACCCAAUCCCGACACGGGGAGGUAGUGACAAUAAAUAACAAUACGGGGUUCUUUAGGAUCUCGUAAUUGGAAUGAGUACAAUUUAAAUCUCUUAACGAGGAACAAUUGGAGGGCAAGUCUGGUGCCAGCAGCCGCGGUAAUUCCAGCUCCAAUAGCGUAUAUUAAAGUUGUUGCAGUUAAAAAGCUCGUAGUUGAAUUUCGGGGUUAGUAGGUUGGUCAUGCCUCUGGUAUGUACUGGUCUCACUGAUUCCUCCUUCCUUAUGAACCGUAAUGCCAUUAAUUUGGUGUUGCGGGGAAUUUGGACUGUUACUUUGAAAAAAUUAGAGUGUUUAAAGCAAGCUAACGCUUGAAUACAUUAGCAUGGAAUAAUGAAAUAGGACGUUCGAUCUUAUUUUGUUGGUUUCUAGGAUUGACGUAAUGAUUAAUAGGGAUAGUUGGGGGCAUUAGUAUUCAAUUGUCAGAGGUGAAAUUCUUGGAUUUAUUGAAGACUAACUACUGCGAAAGCAUUUGCCAAGGAUGUUUUCAUUAAUCAAGAACGAAAGUUAGGGGAUCGAAGACGAUCAGAUACCGUCGUAGUCUUAACCAUAAACUAUGCCGACUAGGGAUCGGAUGA
rnacentral:rRNA from 1 species